UGAAAUGGCCAUGGCACCCUGAGCAAGCCUGAUCCUGUUUGAUCUUGGAAGCUAAGCAGGGUUGGGCUUGGUUAGUAUUUGGAUGGGAGACCACCUAGGAAGACCAGGUGCUGCAGGAG
rnacentral:rRNA from 1 species